GACGAACGCUGGCGGCGUGCCUAACACAUGCAAGUCGAACGGACAUUAAUUUUUCGGAAUUGAUGUUAGUGGCGGACGGGUGAGUAACGCGUGAGCAACCUGCCUUUCAGAGGGGGAUAACGUAUGGAAACGUACGCUAAUACCGCAUGACAUAUAUUUGCCGCAUGGCAGAUAUAUCAAAGGAGCAAUCCGCUGAGAGAUGGGCUCGCGUCCGAUUAGAUAGUUGGUGGGGUAACGGCCUACCAAGUCAGCGAUCGGUAGCCGGACUGAGAGGUUGAACGGCCACAUUGGGACUGAGACACGGCCCAGACUCCUACGGGAGGCAGCAGUGGGGGAUAUUGCACAAUGGGCGAAAGCCUGAUGCAGCAACGCCGCGUGAGGGAAGACGGUUUUCGGAUUGUAAACCUCUGUCUUUGGUGACGAAACAAAUGACGGUAGCCAAGGAGGAAGCCACGGCUAACUACGUGCCAGCAGCCGCGGUAAUCUGU
rnacentral:rRNA from 1 species